AGCCAACAACACCGUAUGUACUAAGGUUUAAAAAAACGUAUUUUGUAAAUGUUUAUAAGAAUAAUUAUGUAAACAAAAUCAAGUUAGACAUUUAGAAUGAUUUAUUUGUAAAUAUUGACCGGCCAAUACGAUACGUAUUUACUAUUAAAAAAUCCACUUUCGUUUUUGUUUUGUCAACUGGGUGGUCCAUUGUUAUUGUUUGUAUUUAGGAUAUAAUUGAUAAAGCACAUGUGGGGAUUUUACAUUUGGUAAUGUGGGGUGUUUUAUAGCUUAUUUUAUGAUAUGGAUAUUAAUUUGGCCAUUGUUGAAUCACACGAUGACCCCCGUCAUUUGAUGGAUGGUCAGUGUCAAAUGAAAAUUUAUGUUUUUAUUUUUAUUUUAAAUUUAUAAUUUCUUUGCUGUGAUCAGUGUAUACUCAUCGACUUAGGCCGUGUUCACAUUCACCUAAACUCGGGAUUGUCUUAUUGUAAUCCACACAUAAACUUAACAUAAUUACGUUUCCAUUGAUACAACUCAAUGUUUACAUAAAGUUUAAAUCAUGUUGUAUCUACCUGCAGCCGAUAAUCAAUGUAGGCCUUGUGUGGGUUAAGCGUACUCAACACUGGGUAUUUAGAACAUGAAUUUUACCGUGUUUCAAUAAAGAAAAAACGAUUUUUGAAUUUAUUUGAUAUUUAUCGUUUUUGUGUGUGUUGCAUUGUCCUUUGAUUUUUUGUUGUUGCACUUUAGUGUUUAGUUGUUUUCUUUUCUUUGUUAUGUGUUUCCCUCAGUUUUAGUUUGUAACCCGGAUCUGUUUUCUGACAAUCGAUUGAUGACUUUCGAACACCGGUUUACUACGGUUGCCUUUAUUGAAUUAAGUUUUUUACAGAAUAAUUUGUCUGAACUUGAUAUAUUUCUUUUUUGUUAGAAAAAAUCAACUUUAGGUAGCUUUAUAAACCAGUAAUAUAGAUUCAAAGCAUGCAUUAUUAUUGCCAAACAUAAUUCAUAGGUCUUCCCAAAUGGACGUACACAGAAAUAUUUGCCACUGAUCUUUACACAAUCAUCGAUUCACUCAUAAGCAUUUUCUAAAUGCAUUAUUAAAAGGAGUGUGCGGUAAAUUGUUUUGUUUGGCUAGUAUCUCAUAUCCGGUAAAAUGCACUAAGAAAUAAAAAAAAAAAGCAAUAAUUUGCAAUGUACAAACUAUUAUUUUAAAGCCAAAGUCGUAGUAUAUUUUUUUUUAGUUUCUCGCGCGAAUGUUUUAUUCAGUGAAACACAACACUGAAUAACACGUUCGCGCGAAAAAAAAAGUUUCGUGGCUAUCAAUCAAAUUAUUUUUUUCAAUAUUUGGCACUCUAUAACGUAUGGGGAAAAUCUGAAUUCUGGAUUUUUUUUUACCGAAUUGGGGAUCAGAAUACUUUUUAAUGUGACUCCCUCCCCCUUUUUGAUAUUGAAUGGUGGUUUCUUUAAUGCUAGAAAAGUUGUCCAGAAAUUUGCGUUCGACUUUAUGUAAUGAUAUUUAAAUGACAUAUAGUUUACAAGUGUGAAAAAAUCGUAUAAACUAGAAAUUAAACCAGGUGUAUAGAUGAGAACAAGUUUAAUGUGAAACCAGUGUACAUUACAUUUAACCUAUUACAAACAUGUUACUGUACAUGGCGUUUGAUGUGAACACGGCCUUAUUCGUGUCACAGUAUUUGUGAUUUAAAUAAAUAAACAGUUAUAAUCAGAAACAAAAAGUUACUGACGAAUUAAGGUAGGAACGUAGAGUGCGUAAAAUAAUUAUUUUUUUAUGACAUUUUCGUCACCACUACCACAAACAAUUAUGCCCCCGUUCCCCCAUUUUCAUCGAGCUUUUAUCUUCCCCUAACCAAGUUUUGAUAUGUACUUUAAUUUGCAAAAAUACACAGAGGUAUGGUUGCCCGGGAAAAAAAAUAUUUGUAGUGUUGCAAGUCUCAAAUAUGUGAAAUGAGGACAUAUGAGUUGAGAUGAUAUUUUUGUUUUCCACAAAUUUUGGAAACCCUUUACAGAAUAGUUAAAUGAAACAUGUUUUAUGCAGACUAAAAUCAUUUGAUAUUCAUACUGGUCGACCGAAAUAUUAUUUCCGUAAGGAAUUAAUUAUCAAAAGCCGAACUCAUUGUCAAAAUAAACUCAGAAUCUUUCAUAGCAAACAUGUUUUAAGGGGAAAUUAGAUACCACUAAAUUGUAGACGCCUUUGGUUUAACCAAUUCUCUUCUUGACUCUAGACCUCAACACGAGAAAAAAUUCACCGUGUCUAAUCCAUCUUUAACCUUAGAUCAAAAAUGGAGGAGAAAAUGUUUGGGACAUCAAACAACAAUUUUAUCAUGGUUUGGUGGGAAUGAUGGACCCACCGGUAAAGAAACUAAUUCUUAUCGAAGGUUCCAGGAAUAUUUUAAGUGGUAACAAAUGGUAUUAAUCGUAUGAUUCUAGACCUUUGAACUCCUUGACGUGUAACGUGAUAAGGAUCGAGGAUGAAUAUUACUAUAUAUAAACUUGUUUUGAUAUAUCGGAUAUGUUCCUUACGUCGUAACUACAAACCCCUUCCCUUUCAUGAAUGUGACCUAGCGAAUUGGACUAUUUACCGGAUUUGUAAUCACAUAAGCAACACGACGGUUGCCACAUGUGGACCAGGAUCUGCUUACCCAUCCGGAGCCCCUGAAAUCACCCCUAGUUUUUAGUGGGGUUCGUGUUGUUUAUUCUUUAGUUUUCUAUGUUAUGUCAUGUGUACUAUUGUUUGUCUGUUUGUCUUUUUCAUUUUAAGCCAUGGCGUUGUAAGUUUAUUUUUGAUUUGUGAGUUUGACUGUCCCUCUGGUAUCGUUCGUCCCUCUUUUUUAACAAAUUGUUCUUAAACAAAAAAGUUUACAGCCUUAUAACAAUGCAAAUAGGUCAGACAGAAUGCAAAACUAUCAUUACUAAUAAGUAUCAGCCUAAUGUCUAACAUACUACUGUUGCAUGCUAUUUAGUACAUGUAGGUUUGAAUUACUUUUUUUUCGAAUUCAAGGGCACUAAAUGUUACCGUUCCUUUAUUUACAUAUUGGCAAAUAUUUCCAACAAAACAAAAUAAUUUUGGAACUUCUAAAAAGGUAAAACAAGUUAUAUUGCAGCACGGGAAAGGCCUUCUGAACAAUAGCAUUAAUUAUAUUUGCAUCAAUAUUAUUUUGCAGGUUUGUGAUAUGGCCUCAUCUUCCCAAAGUUGUUGUGUGUGUGACCUUCGACACAUCAACAAACCAUCCAUAAUCUGGUGUACAGAAUGUGAUAAAGGACUUUGUCAAGAAUGUCAGGAACACCAUAGUUCAUCAAAGGGAACCAGAAACCAUAACACCAUAGCAAUUACGCAAUACCAAACAUUACCUAGUGAUGUACUUAAAAUCACUCAAUACUGUAACAUACACAAAGAAAAAUUUAUAAUUUACUGCCGGAAACACGAACGUCCCUGUUACAGGAAAUGUAUAGUUGAAAGCCACAAGGAAUGUCGGGAUAUCGACAAUUUAGAAGACGUCACUAAAAAUGUAAAAACAUCAAAUGCAUUAUACGAUAUUGAAGAAAUAUUGGAUGAAGUAUCAGAAAAUUUAAAGAAAAUCAGUCAACAUCAGCAGACAAAUCUGUUUAACUUAAAAGAAAAAAAGAAAAAAAAUUCAAAAAGAAAUUCAAAAGACCCGAAAAAUAAUCAACAACC
rnacentral:lncRNA from 1 species